rnacentral:piRNA from 1 species
UAAUUGUCCAGAUCAAGGAAGUGGCCACC